AAUGAACGCUGGCGGCAUGCCUAACACAUGCAAGUCGAACGAUCCCUUCGGGGAUAGUGGCGCACGGGUGCGUAACGCGUGGGAACCUGCACUUAGGUUUGGCAUAACUCAGAGAAAUUUGAGCUAAUACCGGAUAAUGUCUUCGGACCAAAGAUUUAUCGCAUUUGGAUGGGCCCGCGUUGGAUUAGCUCGUUGGUGGGGUAAAGGACUAACACGGCGACAAUUCAUAGCUGGUUUGAGAGGAUGAUCAGCCACACUGGGACUGAGACACGGCCCAGACUCCUACGGAAGGCGGCAGAGGGGAAUAGUGGACAGUGGGCGAAGUCCUGAUCCAGCAAUGCCGCUUGAAUGAUGAAAGCCUUAGAGUAGAAAAGCUCUAUUACCCGGGAUGAUAAUGACAGUACCGGGAGAAUAAGCCCCGGCUAACUCCGUG
rnacentral:rRNA from 1 species